rnacentral:rRNA from 1 species
AGAGUUUGAUCAUGGCUCAGAUUGAACGCUGGCGGAAUGCUUUACACAUGCAAGUCGAACGAUGAACCCUAGCUUGCUAGGGGGAUUAGUGGCGAACGGGUGAGUAAUAUAUCGGAACGUGCCUUGUAAUGGGGGAUAACUAGUCGAAAGAUUAGCUAAUACCGCAUACGCCCUGAGGGGGAAAGUAGGGGAUCUUCGGACCUUACGUUAUAAGAGCGGCCGAUAUCUGAUUAGCUAGUUGGUGGGGUAAUGGCCUACCAAGGCGACGAUCAGUAGCUGGUCUGAGAGGACGACCAGCCACACUGGAACUGAGACACGGUCCAGACUCCUACGGGAGGCAGCAGUGGGGAAUUUUGGACAAUGGGCGCAAGCCUGAUCCAGCCAUUCCGCGUGAGUGAAGAAGGCCUUCGGGUUGUAAAGCUCUUUCGCAAGGGAAGAAAACUUACACAAUAACACUGUGUGAGGCUGACGGUACCUUGAUAAGAAGCACCGGCUAACUACGUGCCAGCAGCCGCGGUAAUACGUAGGGUGCGAGCGUUAAUCGGAAUUACUGGGCGUAAAGCGUGCGCAGGCGGUUUGGCAAGUCAGAUGUGAAAUCCCCGAGCUCAACUUGGGAACUGCGUUUGAAACUGCCAGACUAGAAUAUGUCAGAGGGGGGUAGAAUUCCACGUGUAGCAGUGAAAUGCGUAGAGAUGUGGAGGA